AAGUGAGUUGUGAGAAAUACUUGUGUGUGAGUGCCAUCGAAGUAAGAGUGUGAGUGUUUGAUUAGUAAGGUGAAAGUAGUGUGCACGUGUGUGAGUGAAGAAAGUGAGUGUGUGCUACAGUGUGGUGAGAUACACCAAAGUUUAGGGUGGGUGAGUUGUAAAUUUCAGUUUAGUUCUUCCCAAUAAAAGUUUUCUUCACUCAAG
rnacentral:misc_RNA from 1 species